rnacentral:lncRNA from 1 species
CUAGUAUAUAAGUGAACCUUUGUCGUUAAAUAACUGAUAUCGGUCACAACAGAAGUACGACAGUAUGUUACUGCCUGUGAUUGCGUUAUUUAUUUUCAUCUGCAAUUCAAAUGCUGCAAAUUUGCUAGGGAAUGGUGACUUUGAAAACGGAAAUUUAUCUCCAUGGGAUUGCCAGGAUUGCAGUGCAAAAAUUAUUCAAGGAAGCAAUCAUUAUCAUGGACAACAUAGUGUAGAAGUUAGUGGCAGGUGGGUUGAAUCUUGUCCAUCAUAGUCAUGUUCGAACCGCGUUAAAUCUAUGAUGCUACACUGAAAGCUGUUUGAAUUUGAAUUGUUUUUGUUUUUUACUUUGGAAGAUUGUCUUAUUUUGUUUUGGCAAGAACUUUCAUUUAGGAGAUAACUGUAUUGUAUUUCAAGCUCCGACGGCAUCAAUUGGUGGUUUGAUGGUCGCAAAUUAUUAAGUUUACUGGCGACGCGUAAGCAGAGACAGUUAUCGGAAUUUGUGACCAUCAAUUCACAAAUUGAUGACGUCGGAGCUUAACAUUCAAUAUUAUUGUUAUAUUUUUUGAAACUGACAGACAACAAUGUCAAAUCAUAUAUUGUGUCGUCUUUGCUUGCGCAUAUUUUUCAUAGUAUCAAUUGUGAAUUAAUGCCAUGAAAAACGAUGACGUAAGUAAAACAAAAUGAACAAUGAUGCAUUAGAAUAAGAAUUUAAGUGUUGAUAAUCUAAUUUUUGAAAUUUUGUCACCUGACCUGCACAAGUAUGUUUUUAAAAUUGAUUUAAUGCCUUUAAGUAACAAAAAGAACCAGAAUUAUUAUUCUGUACAAAUCCAAACUUAUUUACUACAACUAAUGCAGUGUUUAAAAAAAAAUGUAUUUCAGACAUCACAACUGGGCUGGAAUAGCACAGACGUUCUCUGUUACAGGCGGUCAUUAUUACAAGUGUAGUAUCUAUAUUAAGCUUCUUAACCUUGGAAGCGGGAAGUCGUAUGCUCACGUUAACCUAAAUAUCGAUUAUCAACAAAAUGGUAA